rnacentral:rRNA from 1 species
GUCUACGGCCAUGCCACCCUGAACAUGCCCAAUCCCGACUGAUCUCGGAAGCUAAGCAGGGUCGGGUCUGGUUAGUACUUGGAUGGGAGACCACCCAGGAGGACCAGGUGCCGUAGGAG